rnacentral:rRNA from 1 species
UCCUCGGGGGGCAGCAGUGGGGAAUAUUGCACAAUGGGGGAAACCCUGAUGCAGCGACGCCGCGUGAGUGAAGAAGUAUUUCGGUAUGUAAAGCUCUAUCAGCAGGGAAGAAAAUGACGGUACCUGACUAAGAAGCCCCGGCUAACUACGUGCCAGCAGCCGCGGUAAUACGUAGGGGGCAAGCGUUAUCCGGAUUUACUGGGUGUAAAGGGAGCGUAGACGGCAGCGCAAGUCUGGAGUGAAAUGCCGGGGCUCAACCCCGGAACUGCUUUGGAAACUGGGCAGCUAGAGUGCGGGAGAGGAAA